UUUUUUUUUUUUUUUUUGUGUUGUCAUUUUGAGCUUUAUAAGAUGGAUUUUAUCCUCGAAUCGACUAGAUUGGUAUCCGACCACUUAGAUGAAAGGUGAAUACAUAAGGAAAUAGAGAUUGAGGCUUUUCAAAUUGCAGCUCAAAAUUAAGCAGCCAAAUAUACUGUAUAUGUGCAUUCAGAGAUUGCUUCUUUGGCUUACAUAUGCUUUUCUUGUCUUGCAUUAUUUGGAUAUCAUUAGACCCUCAUCUUCCCGGGGCGCACUUGGAUAUUUGGCAUGUAUAGGAAUUAAAUCUCUAGAAACACAUGAGACUCGCGACUUCGCUACAAGCUACUUUGGCUUUACGCGAGAAAUUGGAAUCACAUUAGUGAUGAGUUGAUCCCAGACAGAUAUUCUUCAGUUCUAGGAUUGUUUAGGAUUAUGCAUCUGUAUUCUGCAAAUGAGUCAACAUUCAAUUACCGCUUGCUGAAAAGCUCACUUGGUAAAAUUUGAAGAUAAAACUUAGCUUCACAUAUAUCAGGACAUAGGGUGACAAAAUGCAAAAUUGACUUGAUGAAGCCACGAGAUAACAACCAACAAUUACGGUAGUUUUCUACCCUUGUUUUUUCUCCUGGAACUCGCAUAUAAACAAUUCAAUCAGUGAAAUCAGAUGAUCUCAGUUACCAUGUAACUCGCGGGAGACGGGAUUAUUAGCUAGGACCCACUCUAUUAAUUUGUCUAAACCUCGUUUCCACCUUGAGGAGAGAUUGCAGAAUGAAUAUAAAUGAGGCUACAGUAAUUGUGUCCCGGUGGCCAACUAAAAACCAAAAGAGUAGCUGCAUGAAACUGCCAAACUAGACCACCCACCACUCUACCUUCCAUCUCUAACAUUGCAAAGUUCUUUCAUUAUUUGAGCUAAUCUGCUUCUCACAGAUACUCAUGUAACUUUCAGUUAUUCUUAUCCCGGAUCGAUCGACGUCAAUUUUCAGCUCACUCUUUAUGCCCGAAGCUGGGAGAUUUGAAUUAGGGUCGUACAUAUUUUUGAUGGAGCAAGCACGAUAUUGGAUGUGGACAAAGAGGAAACAUGAUUUCGGUUCACAUGUAUUUUCAGCAUCAUUACCGAAUCCCAGCUCGUAUGGUGAAUCAUGGGAAGAGCAAGCUUUUGCCGAAGAUGCAGCUGGAGGGCUCGGAGGUUGCACAUGGCCUCCAAGAUCUUACACUUGUAGUUUUUGCAGGAGAGAAUUCAAGUCAGCUCAGGCUCUAGGGGGUCACAUGAAUGUCCACCGCAGAGAUAGGGCUAGGUUAAAGCAGUCUCCAACUCCACAUAUGGAAGUUCUUUCCCGCAAUCACCAGAUUCUGAACCCCUGUGCAUCUUUGGAUUCACCUCAGAUAUGUACUUUCUUGUACAGCCAUGAUUCUAAUGACUCUGAUCAUCGAGUUGUUCUUGCAUCACCUUCAUCGCCUAUUAGGGUUUCAUCAUCUUCACCACCGCCAAAGAUCAUGGAUUGUGAAGAAAAGAUAUUGGGCGCCCCUCAAUUCUUUUCUACUAUCGUCGAUGAAAGUUACCAAAAGAGUAACCUGUCGUCUCCUCAAUCCUGGUCAAACUUGGUUGCAGACAAAUAUUUCCAUGUCCCAGAUUCGAAGAAUGGAGACAAGGGUUCCAAAACGGUUAAGUCAAAUGGUAGGGCUAAUGGAGAACAUGUCAAAGCCGAUUUGUCUGCGAGCUUGAAUUUGCUACUUUGUCGAACCCGUUCAAAUACAUCUGAUGACGCUGAAAACUUUCACACCUAUAAGAGACGGAAAAUGGAUGAAACUUCAGUCACUUUGUUGCCAACAUCAACUCUUGCUGAUAAAAAAUGUCUUCUUCAGUCAAAUUUGCCGCCUAAAAUGAGCCCCAACUCCAUAGACGAAUUAGAUCUUGAGCUGAGGCUUGGCGAUCCACCAAAGGUGAAGUAAGACUUGGAAUUCUUUUUCGUUAUAGCCAUAUGCAUAGAUUCUAUUCCAUUUUCAUAUUGCUCUGAUGUAUCAUGUUUCUUCCUUUCUCUUUGCGCAAGUAUGGUAUUCUAAUUAAUUUCUCUUCUGGCAAUUUACCGGGUGUAAUUGUCACUAUAUCAGCAGAUUAUAAGUUUCCAUCUUGUUUUCCGUUUUCGUUUUUUUCGAUCUCAUAAAUAUGAGAGGGAGGAUGUUUGUUUGGCCAUCUCGUGCAAUUCAGGCUUGAUCUGGUUCACUAAAUAUGAUGUAAUGAUUGCAGUGCUUGAAUUCAUCGGCCAUCACAAUGCUUAUACCUGUCAAGGGUCAUCGCUAUGCUUAUACCUGUCUAAGAAAUAGACAAAUAUCUUACCUGCAAGUAGAUUAGACUAAAACGUUAGAAGCCUUGGUGGAGUUUUGCAGCAGGAAGAUAGAAAGAGUCCCUACGAGUACAGUAGAAAUUGGUAAUUUUUGAUGCGGGUUAUGCAAAGGCAAUGAGUUCAAUAUAAACUGUCAUGCCAUUUGCAGUCAAGUCAUGAUUCAUGAACAUGGAUUUUCAUCCUCAUAACCUAGUAGCAAGUUAAUAAAUAUGUGUGGAUUCUGGAGUCGAGAAAUGUCACAGAUACACAUAAGACCAGAAAAAGAGACAAAGAGGGAUCGUGCCGGUUGAUGAUACUAUUGAACUUCAUUUGGGAUUUUUACGUGGAACAAAUUAGCAUGUGUUGUGUAUAGAGUACUGACUAAAGCUGCACGGAAUGCAGCAAAGAGAGCACCUUUUUCCAUUGAGUACCUCACUGACAUUCUGUUUUACAUAACUAAACUAGUCUAGAAGACAGGCAAAGUUAGGUUUUCAAGGACACAUAAGUCAGAUACAACACAACAUGGAUUCCCUUUUCCUUUGGAUGUAUUAUUGUCAAUUAUUCAUCAUCAUCAGAUGAUCAGAUCAGUAGUUGCAGUUAAGUAUCUUCUCCGCAUAAAUCCAUACACUUGUGUUCUCUUCCCUCACUUUUCUCUCUUUCUCAAUCCCUCCAAAAAUUGCCACCAACUACAAGGAAUCAAUCCAUUUAAGUAUUUAAACAAAUUCCCUUUUCUAUUCACUAAGGGAAUAUUAUUGCAUCAUCAGUCAUUGGCAUUAACAGCAUCGUCUUACACCUUAUCAGCAAGUAAGAAUAAAGAAUGAGAAUAAAGAAUGACCAAAGAAUGAGAAAUAAAGUACUAUAAACUGUGACCCCCUUAAACCAAACCCUAACCCUACCUAUAGUAUUAUCAUAGCCCCUGCCUGCCUUUAUCAUAGAGUUUCCAGCCUCCUCACGGUGUCUAAGGCUCAAAUCAUUGUGUAUUAACUAGCCCUAUUUAAUAUGUGCUAUCUAAGAGGAAAUCUGAUAGAGGAUUGGAUUGGGUUGGGUCGGGUGCAUUUUUUGAUAUGCUGGCCUGAAAUCCUGAGGAACCAUGUGCAAUCUGAAGGCAAUUUAAUUGAUAUCCUCAGACUAGGUUCUAAUUAAUGCUAGAUGCAUUAACUACGUACAGUUCGAAAGCACGUUAUUAAUGAGUCCAAGGAUCUAUGAUCACUUUCCGAUGUGGGAGUUUCAUUUGUUAAUGGUAAGGGACAGAGAACGGUAUGUGUAAUGUGGCAAGAGGGGCUUGUAUCAGUUGUAUGGUUAAUAGUACUAGUAUUACUAUGUUUUUCGAAGAAAACUCAAAUGUUUGCUUUAAUGGGAGGUAAGGCGAUUGGCUAGGGUUUGUCUUGAUUAUGGUGUACAGAGUACUGGAGUUGGGCGGGUUUGAUAGUGAAGUAUAGUAGUAGAAAAUAGGAGUGCCAGAAAGUGCACAUGGAUUAUCAGGUGUCCGUUUCUGUGUUUUCCCUGUGAGUGAAUGGGGGAUUUAGUAAAAGGAAUGCCAGAUUAUUCCAAGCUAGCUAGUCUGUAUUUCUCUGUUUAGAGAAUUUUUGUAGUUCCGAGAUAUACAUUAAUUAUGAAGAUUUCAGAAAAUAAUGAUUCCGUGCUAAAUGUCUCUUUCUUCCCAAUUGCUAUAUCAAAAAAAAUUAACUAAGGCUCUCUCUUAAAAACAAAACUAAAGUUGUGACAUUAAUUUAUAUUAUUCCUUUUUUUUUUGGGCAGAAGGCUAUUAAUUAGUGCAUGGAAACAGGGAGAGGGUUUUUCCCAGGAAAUCAGUGGCCAUAUAUUACGAAUGGUCUCUCUGUGUUUGUGCAUGUGUGAAAUUUUGUGCACGACAUAUUAUUGAUAAAAUUAAAUUAUCAUCGUAAGAUCGGCUGAACCGAGAACUUUCCAUAUCCCUUUUUAAUUAUUUUUUUUUUUGGGGUUUCGGUAAGCGGAGCUAUUAAUUUGCUAUAGCUAAUUAGCUGUUAAUCCAAUACCAUGACAUGUUAGGCAAUUGUGAGGUUUGAUAUUCUUUUGGGAUAAUUUUAGAAACCUCCCCUAAAGUUUCUGACAAUUUCAUUGAGCUUCCCUGAGGUUUGAAAAAUUACACUUACUGCCCUUGAUUUAAUAGUUUUAUAAUCUAAAUCUUAAAAUAUGAUUGACUUGGUCAAAUUUUUAAAUGAAUACCCAAAAAUACCCUUGUGUAAUGAGUUUUAAUUUAUUUUUCUACACAAUUAUAAGAUUAUCUAGUAUAAUAUAAGCAAAAGGUACCAAAUUUUUCAUGUCCAUACUUACUAUUUGAUAAAUAACUGUAAUAAUAAUUUUAUCACUAAAAUAGGAUACUUUUGAUGGUAUUUUAUUAUGGAUUUAGAUUUAUAAGAUAGAAAAAAAUGUUGAAAUAAUUCAUUUAGAAUUUAUGAAUUUUUCAAAUAGUAGAAUUAUCAUAAUUUAGUAGUGGUUUUGGGCCUUUUUUAUUUAUUAUUAAUUUUAAUACCAAAAAAUAGAAAACAAAGAUCAACAAAAAUAUUGAAUUACAUAUAAGUUGACUCAUAAAAAAAUCACUAGUUUGGCAUUUAGUUACAAUAGAAACUAAAGGUAAUAAUGCUAGUUAUACAGUUUUAUUGGCAAAAAUUUUUUAAAAAAGGAAUAAGAAUGAAAAAAUAAUUUUAAAAGUCAUUUUAAAUAUAAACAUACCAAAUAAGGGAAUUUCAUUGAAAUAUUUAAGGGUAGUAUUAUCACUUUAAAUGACAAGGGAGUUAUGUCUAAUUUUCAAAACCUUGGGGGAGCUAAAUGAAAUUGUUAAAAACCUCAAGGGAGGUUUCUGAAAUUAUCGCUAUUCUUUUGGCAGACACUUAGUAGCUUCUUAUAAAAGCUCACCCUUCGGAGCAUAAACCACCGAGAAGAUUUCAGUCAGUAUUAUCUUUCAGGGUAAAUUCCGAGGAAUCUGGUCUUAUUCAUUAUGGUAAGGUAUAUAUCCCGGCUUAUAUUAAAGAAUUGCGAAGAAAUAGGGAAUGACAAAGUUAUACUGUUCAGAGAUUUCAGCAAAUGGUAGGCUAAUUUAUAAGAACGGAAAAAAUGCCGACAAAUUAAGUUAUAAGUGUCAUAAGUUGCUGACUUCUUGUGGUUUCAAAGUGGAAUUUAUUCACCAAACGAAACAGAAAAAUUAAACUGUGCUUGAUCUUAUUCAGGCUACUGCUUUUAGCAACAGGGGAAUGCCACUGCCUGUAUUCUUGCAUACCUAAGACUAAGAGUCCAAUGCAAUACUGGCCACUUAGUUUCAGUUCUUCCAGCAAUAAUAAAAUAAGAGGAGGACAGUAACCGGCAAAACUGUACUUCGAAAGGCAUAAAUUUUUCGACUAAGUUGUACAAUAAGCAACACCAGCAGAGUCAAUCAUACAAAACGAAUCACAGUUCCAGUAGUAAAAUUCUCAAGCGUAUCAACUGUGGCAGAUUGUGCACUAGAUGGGAACAGGUAAAUUUUCGCCACCAACUGCCAGAGGAAAGUCUGAAUCUCAUCAAACAACUUGAUCAACGAGAGCCUUAAGGACAGUC
rnacentral:lncRNA from 1 species